AUUGAACGCUGGCGGCAGGCCUAACACAUGCAAGUCGAACGAGUGGCGGACGGGAGAGUAAUGUCUGGGAAACUGCCUGAUGGAGGGGGAUAACUACUGGAAACGGUAGCUAAUACCGCAAACCAUCGGAUGUGCCCAGAUGGGAUUAGCUAGUAGGUGGGGUAACGGCUGACCAAGGCGACGAUCCCUAGCUGGUCUGAGAGGAUGACCGGCCACACUGGAACUGAGACACGGUCCAGACUCCUACGGGAGGCAGCAGUAGGGAAUCUUCCGCAAUGGGCGAAAGCCUGACGCAGCCAUGCCGCGUGUGUGAAGAAGGUCUUCGGGUCGUAAAGUACUGUCAGUAGGGAAGCGUUACCCGCAGAAGAAGCACCGGCUAACUCCGUGCCAGCAGCCGCGGUAAUAC
rnacentral:rRNA from 1 species